UGGCGGACGGGUGAGUAAUGUCUGGGAAACUGCCUGAUGGAGGGGGAUAACUACUGGAAACGGUAGCUAAUACCGCAUAACGUCGCAAGACCAAAGAGGGGGACCUUCGGGCCCCCUGCCAUCGGAUGUGCCCAGAUGGGAUUAGCUAGUAGGUGGGGUAAAGGCUCACCUAGGCGACGAUCCCUAGCUGGUCUGAGAGGAUGACCAGCCACACUGGAACUGAGACACGGUCCAG
rnacentral:rRNA from 1 species